AACGAACGCUGGCGGCAUGCCUAACACAUGCAAGUCGAACGAGAUCUUCGGGUCUAGUGGCGCACGGGUGCGUAACGCGUGGGAAUCUGCCCUUUGGUUCGGAAUAACAGUUGGAAACGACUGCUAAUACCGGAUGAUGACGAAAGUCCAAAGAUUUAUCGCCAGAGGAUGAGCCCGCGUAGGAUUAGCUAGUUGGUGUGGUAAAGGCACACCAAGGCGACGAUCCUUAGCUGGUCUGAGAGGAUGUUCAGCCACACUGGGACUGAGACACGGCCCAGACUCCUACGGGAGGCAGCAGUGGGGAAUAUUGGACAAUGGGCGAAAGCCUGAUCCAGCAAUGCCGCGUGAGUGAUGAAGGCCUUAGGGUUGUAGAGCUCUUUUACCCGGGAUGAUAAUGACAGUACCGGGAGAAUAAGCUCCGGCUAACUCCGUGCCAGCCGCCGCAGUAA
rnacentral:rRNA from 1 species